UGCAAGUUAGUAUAUAAAUACAACUGACUUAGGAUCAGUAAAUAAGCAACCACUUACUUGCCA
rnacentral:tRNA from 1 species